AUUGAACGCUGGCGGCAGGCCUAACACAUGCAAGUCGAGCGGAAACGAGUUAUCUGAACCUUCGGGGAACGAUAACGGCGUCGAGCGGCGGACGGGUGAGUAAUGCCUGGGAAUAUGCCUUGAUGUGGGGGAUAACUAUUGGAAACGAUAGCUAAUACCGCAUAAUCUCUUCGUCUUUAACAAGGCGGGGAGCGAAGAGGGGGACCUUCGGGCCUCUCGCGUCAAGAUUAGCCCAGGUGGGAUUAGCUAGUUGGUGAGGUAAGGGCUCACCAAGGCGACGAUCCCUAGCUGGUCUGAGAGGAUGAUCAGCCACACUGGAACUGAGACACGGUCCAGACUCCUACGGGAGGCAGCAGUGGGGAAUAUUGCACAAUGGGCGAAAGCCUGAUGCAGCCAUGCCGCGUGUAUGAAGAAGGCCUUCGGGUUGUAAAGUACUUUCAGCAGUGAGGAAGGUGGUGUACUUAAUACGUGCA
rnacentral:rRNA from 1 species